GAUGAACGCUGGCGGCGUGCCUAAUACAUGCCAGUCGAGCGAACAGAUAAGGAGCUUGCUCCUUUGAAGUUAGCGGCGGACGGGUGAGUAACACGUGGGUAACCUACCUAUAAGACUGGGAUAACUUCGGGAAACCGGAGCUAAUACCGGAUAACAUUUAGAACCGCAUGGUUCUAAAGUGAAAGAUGGUUUUGCUAUCACUUAUAGAUGGACCCGCGCCGUAUUAGCUAGUUGGUAAGGUAACGGCUUACCAAGGCGACGAUACGUAGCCGACCUGAGAGGGUGAUCGGCCACACUGGAACUGAGACACGGUCCAGACUCUUACGGGAGGCAGCAGUAGGGAAUCUUCCGCAAUGGGCGAAAGCCUGACGGAGCAACGCCGCGUGAGUGAUGAAGGGGUUCGGCUCGUAAAACUCUGUUAUUAGGGAAGAACAAAUGUGUAAGUAACUGUGCACAUCUUGACGGUACCUAAUCAGAAAGCCACGGCUAACUACGUG
rnacentral:rRNA from 1 species